GAGUGCAGUAAGAGGGAGAAAGGGAGAUUCGGAAAAGAGAGAGAGAGAGAGAGAGAGAGAGACGUGUCUCCGGCGACCGGUUUCCGACAUACUAGCUGCCUGCAACAUAUUUGAUGUUCUUCUACAACUAUAUCUUUUGCGAUGAUUGGAAGAUAGAAAGACAAAGGUUGCGUGUUGGUAACUGGACCUAGGGUUCCGGUGAAACCCUGGUAAGUGUUUCUUCACUUACAUGCUCCACCAUUUGAUAGAUCGGUCUAAAGAUUUGUUGCUUGAGACUGUUUUCGGUGUUUCGGAACUUCGGUUAAGUUCCGGCAUACUCCGGUGACUGGCAAUGCUUGAUCUGCGUCACAGCAAGCGUGGUAGGACGUUCGGCUAAGUUUGCAGGAAGGUUCUUGAGCUUUCUGUCAUAAACGGACUACAAGAGUGAAGAUAGUUUCUAAUUAACAAGGUAAGGUCUUCCUAUGGUUGAUUUUUGUUCUUUUUAGUUUACGACUUCGGUUUUCGAUAUAAAGCCGUCCAUUUUGACUGUUAAUUAAUUUAUAAUAAAUUCUGGUGUUCAUGAUGUGAUUAUAUAUUUGGGUGUUCUUUGCUUAACAGAGGACAUGAUGUAUUUAAGUUACAAGCCAAAACUUAUGGCAACAAAAUUACUAUAUACUAGCAUAAACAACCUAUUUAGCUAUGUAACCUUUUCGUUGUGUGGGUCAAGGCGUGGAUACAAGGUGUUAGGAGGGGUGAACAUUAGGUAUACGAAUGGUUUUUUAUGGAUACAAGGUGGAUACAAGGUGUUAGGAGGUGUGGGUGCGGGUGAAACAUUCCUUUUUUUGGUAAGGAUGCUCAUCAACCUGAAUAAGGUGAACAUUAGGUAUACGAAUGGUUUUUUAUGCAUGCAUUCAGUAAAUAUGGAUAAAAAAAUUUGAUUUUAAACCCAUUCAGAAAGCAAACACUGGGGGGCAUCUUUCUCAAAUGUUGGAGCCCACUUUGUAACAUACUCAAGGAGUCACCAUAGAAAACAAAACAUCACUUGAUUUUCAGGGAGUUGUUGAUUUCUUUUGAUUCAAAUUCUUUUGUCUCUUUUAAUUAUAUACUUUUAAUUUGUUUAUUUAUAAUAAAUUGUUUAGUCCAUGUAACGUUAAUUUCUUUGUUUUUUAAUCAAAGUGUCUAAAUAUUUGUUUAUGUUCAAUUGUUUGUGAAAAAUGAAAACCGAAAUUUGAUUCAAUGUUAUGGUCGAAAGAAAAAAGGGUCUAUCUCCAUUGCUUUUAUUGGGUAACUCAUUUUUUACCGACCUGUCUUUCCUACUCACUUUGCCCAACCCAUAUUUUGACUCCAGUGUAAAAAAAAGUAUCCACCACUGGUGUGGGUCCUAUUUAUAUCGGGAGAAUUAUGGGUACCGGUAACGAAUACCAUAUAUGGAACCCGUGUGCUUACCACUUACAUUUCUUAGGACUUAACGGCCCAGUUAAGUCUGUUUUGAGCGAUGUGCUAACCCAUCAAAGCAUCAGUUAUAUGUUGCCUAUCAUAACUUACAUUGUUGUUCAUGGCCCAAUAUCUUUGUUCUUUUGUUUUUGUUUUUCAAAGAUAAGCAGCAUGGUCGCGAAAGUCAACCACAACUACACACCGACCAACUUUACUGCAGUUCCAUUGUUUUCUUUACCAUCUUUGCUUUUAUUGUUUCAUCUUAUUGACUUAUCUUCAUCACUUCUUAACUAACCUCUUUUUUUGCAGGAUCUUUUCAUCUUUUUAUCAUUGUUUAUAGUCUUAUACUUUCACCCACACUUAUAUGUAUCUUUCUGUUAAUUGUGGUUCCAACCCCUGGCCGUUCGAAUGAUAUAUUGGAGAUGAGAAGAGUAAGCUUGAAUCGAGUUACUUUUUUGGUGUUGGAUAAAGCUGACCGGAUGUUGCUUGUAAUUUGCUUUUUAGCUUUUGGCUCUCUUAGCAGCUUGCUAAGGAGCUUUGUUUUGUAUGUUGGUUUUGUUUGCUCAAAAAAAAUAUGAACAUAAUUGUUUUUGAUUUGAA